CCUGACCUCGUGAUCCACCCGCCUCGGCCUCCCAAAGUGCUGGGAUUACAGGCGUGAGCCACCGCGCCCGGCCCUAUCUGGUUUUCUUGUACUCAUUCUGGCCCGGCUACACUCCAUUCCCUGCAUUACAAGUCAGCUGUCAUUUCAGAACACAAGUCUGGUGUGCCCCCCUCGACCCCCCCGCCACGCGGCGUUGCCUAAAUUCCUCCACUGUUAGAAUAAAAUCUGGACGCUGAUAUCUGAGCUAAGUCUUGAAGACAUGAGUUCAACAAGCAGAAAAGAGGGAGAAGGGCAUGUGCAGAGGGAGGGAAGUGUGAACAAAUCAUUGACACAUUCAGGUUUCCCUGUCAGGGGACCAGCACUCUGUACACUAAAGCACUGCCUCUUAACAUUAUUGGGAUCUCAAAACAACCCUGUGAGAUAAAUACAGCAUGCAAUUUUCCCACUAGUUUACAAGCAUGGAAACUAGUUUGUGGGAGGCAACAAAUGCAAUGGUUAAGAGCACAGGCAAUACAGUCAGACCCUCUUGGGUUGUAAACCUAUUGAUUCCUCUAGCCAGCUGGGUAAACACUUCUCUGAUCCUUGAUCUCUUACCUACUAAAGAGGAAUAAUUAAUCCCUCCCUCUUAUAAGAUAAUUUAUAUAAAAUGGUUAGUUACAGGACUUGGGCACUUUGGAAAUGCUCAGUAAUCGUUAGCUGUUUUGAUGGUAAUGGGUUCUGAGAAAGGGAGGGAACUGCUGUCUUCCACAAAUUUCUGAAAUUAUAGGAAGUAAGCCCUAAUUGUUAACACUUCCACAGAGCUUAUUAUGUGCCAGUCACUAUUAUAAGUGCUUUACAAAAAUUAACCCUUUUAAUCCUCUUGCUGUUUCCACUUUACAGAUACAGAAGUUGAGAUACAGAGAGGUGAAGGAACUUGUCCCAGGCCCUACAGCUAAUCAAAAAAAAAAAAAGAGAGAGAGAAAAUUCAUUACCAGUGGACGUUCUGUAAGCAGAAGAAAUAUGAUACCUGAGAGAAACUUGGAUCUACAUAAAGAAAUGAUGAUCUCUGGAAACAGAUAGAAUAAAGCAGAUUUCUCAUCAGAAACUGUGAAAGCCAGAAAGAAGUGGCACAAUAUGUUUAAGUACUG
rnacentral:lncRNA from 1 species